AUCACAUGGUGAGGACAUUGCCUCAACAAUUAUUUGAAUCUUUCACAAGUAUCAAAUAAAGACUCAUCUUCUCUUUUCCUAAAUGAAGUAAUCUCAUUUCUCAUAUU